CGUCGGGGACGCCCAGGCCACCGGCCUGAUGAGGGAAGCAGGGGCAGAGCGCUCAGGCCAGGGCCGGCGGGGGCACUGCGCACUGGCCGCCUCCCUCCUCUGGCCAAUCCUCCUGCCGCUGCGCGUCUAGUCCACCUCGUCCCUCUCUGCAGUCUUCCUGCCUGAGCCCUUCCAACUUCAGGAGGCAGAGGUCGGUGUCAUGGACAACACUGUCUGCGGAUCCUUUUUCCAGCCCCAGUACCCCGGCCAGCCAAGCAGCAGUGACUACACCAUCCACGAGGACAUGCUGUGCGCUGGGGACCUCAUAACAGGAAAGGCCAUUUGCCGAGCAUGUUCCUACGUGAAGCAUGGAGUUACGCAAUGGCCUGCCUGUCCAUGAAGUUCCUCUGGCCUCCUCCGAUUCUGUGGCUGCAAAUCCACACCUAGGAGCUCCGCAGGCCUGCUGGAGCACAGCGCCUGUAGGUUUCUGCGCCUGGAACCCACCUCAGGACCACAAGCCGCAUUCAGUCUCUUUUUAUAGAUCUGGAACCCGAAGCCCAGCGUGGUUAGGAACUUGUCUAAGGUCACUUGGUAGUAAAUACUGGAACAGGGAUUCAAACCCACAUCUCCAGAGAGAGCUCAGAAGCCUUGUGCUUUCCAUGAGUGCAGCUGUUUCCAGAGGCCUCCGGCCCUGUCUCACCUUCCCAGACUGCCUUGAGAGGCUCUAGCUGGCCUGUCUCUAGUGUGGCCAGAUUCUAUCUGGUCAGUGGCAAGGGAGGACCCCAGGCCACAAUACUGACAUCAGGGAACAGAACAGAUCUGCAGGGCCAGUGAGUGGUGCUACGGAAAGGCUGGGAGUGGCCCCUGCGUGGUUUUCCCUAGACCCAUCGUCAGGGGCUCCAGGCCUCCAUGUGUUGUGCUGCACGGGCUACUGGCUCCCUCUCCAAAAUCGACCCUGGGUGAGCUGUGGAGGCGAGAAGGCAGUGUGCAUUUCAGAAACUAACCAAAAUCAGUGAGAAAAUCUUGGAGAAACUGAAGUUACCCUGGGCGGCUGUAGCUGGGAAUGGAGGAUGGGGCAGCCAGGAGCCAGACUUAAGAAGGCUGUUCACACUCUGCUCUUGUUGCUUGCCUCCCACACCUCGUGACAAAUGCUGCCUGGUCCCGCUCAGGUGUCAGGAUUGCAAGGUGGCUGUGUCAGCCAGUGUGAGGGCCCCACAAGCCACCGGUGUUGUGUGCCCUCCAUCCUCCUCCUGAACCCCCCCUGGGUGGGACAGUUGCUAUCCAGGGAAAUGGGCCUCUUCCACUGUGAUCUCCUCCAGGGCUUUCACCGGCAGGCCCGCCUGCAGGAGUGGCUUGUGGGGUGGCAGGAUGCAGGAGAGAGUGAGUGAGGUGCUUCGUGCCUGGGGCCCUCUGCUCUGGGGCCACCCUCCUCGUUGACUCACUGGGAGCCUUGCUAGUGCAGACAGGGUGACCAGGAGCUGCUAAGCCCAGGGAAUGCACACACGUGCACUGGAGCAGCUGCCUAUCUUAAGAGUCCAAUGCCCACCGAAACACAGUAGGCUGCACAGCAUCCACUACUGGAAGUAGAGUUGCUGGAAAAGACAGACCAAACAUAUUUAAUAAGCACAAUAAAUAUCUUUUUGGAUACAGAAAAAUAUUAUUAGUAAUAAGACCUAAGACAAAGAAACUACCGAAAAGAACCAAGUCAAAAUAUUACAUAUGCAAAAUGUAAUCGUUGAAUUAAAGACCACAUUACAUUGAGCAAACAGGGUCAAUGCAGAUGAAAGAGGAAGCCAGUCGUUACUUUAAAGGUAUGGCUGUCACAGUGUGGACUUUGGAGCCCGUCCACUUUAGUUGGGGUAAUUUGUAGAGCAUUUAUUUACAAAAGUACUAAUCACCCAGGUAUGUUUGGGCUGAAGGCUCCGGGAAAGCCCAGGGCAGGGGCCUGGCACAGGCAUCAGAAGCAGAGCUCUUGCCACCCAAGGCCCUGAGGGACCAGUGAAGUAGGAGCCGUGGGGAGAGGGUGCCUGAGAGGAGCAGGGACACUCAGCCGAGGGACACAGCCAGCCAAGGCGGCCUCACAAAGAGGAUUUUCAUGGAAACAAAUGCCCUGACUACUUCAUUCCCACAUCUUCGGCUGAGGCUCCCAUGGCAAGUGGAGAGAGCAGCUGCAGGUGGCCUCGGUCACUUGGGUCAGCUCUCCUGCUUAAAACAAACACAGAAAUCAAUAAAAGUGUUGAUUGUAUUAUU